rnacentral:rRNA from 1 species
UACGGAGGGUGCAAGCGUUAUCCGGAUUCACUGGGUUUAAAGGGUGCGUAGGCGGGCAGAUAAGUCAGUGGUGAAAUACCUGAGCUUAACUUGGGAACUGCCAUUGAUACUAUUUGUCUUGGAUGUUGUGGAGGUUAGCGGAAUAUGUCAUGUAGCGGUGAAAUGCUUAGAGAUGACAUAGAACACCUAUUACGAAGGCAGCUAACUACGCAAAUAUUGACGCUGAGGCACGAAAGCGUGGGGAUCAAACAGG